AGUUGUGCCCACGCACCCAACUGUUCCAGUAACAUAAAAGCAACAGCAGUUGGAGAUACUUAAGGCAGCCAUGGUAUUGACAGAAAAAGACUCUGGAUUUGGAUUGCAGCUGUAGCAUUUAUUAAAUGCACGUCACAACCUCUCUGAGCUUCGUUUUCCCCACGUUUCAAAUGGGAUGCAGUGGACCCUGUUGCCUACCCGGUAACUUUUUACCUUCUUUAUCCUUUUUUACAAAACCUCAAUGUCAUUCAGGAAUCCUCCUUGUUCAGUGAGGCCACAUGCUUCAAAGGAAGCAGGCUGUAGUCUUGGCCUCACGAGCCAGAGAACUGGAGUCUAUGCCCUAAUUCUCAAAUUUACAAGAAAUGAUUCGCCUAAGUUAAGUAUGAUGGUCCCACUCCCUUUGGUAGUGAUUGGUUACUCAUGGGUGUGUAAUUUAAUUCUGGCCAGUGCUCUGGGAGGGGAAGGCUUUGGAAGCCUUCUGGGAAAGAUUUGGAUGAUAAAGAGAGAUGUAUUGAGAUAAAAACUCUACUUUUUCUAUUACACCUUAUAAUAUCUGCAAAUGAAUUCCAGAACUCCAGCAGCCGUCUU
rnacentral:lncRNA from 1 species